rnacentral:lncRNA from 1 species
AUGGAGUUCCUGGCUGUUGGCUUCUGCCUGGCCCUGUCCAGCUGUUGUGGCCACCUGGGGAGUGAAGCAACAGAUCCUUCUGUCUCUCCUCUCUCUGCUGCUCUGCCUUUCAAAUAUAUCAUCUUAAAAAGAAUGGCGAGUGGACUUGUGCAAGUUCUCACACUGAGUGAGGCACAGUCUCGGCUCUCUACUUUCACUGCCUCCAUCACCACACGCCAUCCGCUCACUUGCAAGACCCAACUGAUGUUUGGAUUUGCUGCUCUGACCCCUGCCUUAACAACACUCCCUCCAGCUCCCUCCAACACCCCGGCACUGAGUCAGACUUCAAGGGCACAGCAGAAGAAUGUUCUCCAGAAGGGGGAAGGUAGGAUUCCAAUCGUCCUGGAAUCCACUGGCGAAAUGGGGACAAGAAUGGCGGAUGGUGCAUGGCAGAAGCAGCUGGAUGAAGGCCCGAGAGCAUGGCGGGGGCUCUUGGGUCUGGGGCUUGGGGGUGGGGGCAGUGAAGAGGUGUGCUUUCCCUCCCAGCAUCUCUCCAGUAAGAAGGUGCUGGCCCUGCUGCCCUGGAGCCAUGCCCUGGGGAGCAAAGGCUCGGGGUGGGGGGGUGAGAAGACCCCACGGAGCUGUGCUCUUGCUAGAAGUUGGGGUGGGGGCCCUCCCGGGCCUCCUACACCUGUGGGAAGGGGCGGCUGUCCCCCCGUGGGAAGCAAUACCUCCCAGCUCCAACUGCAGCAGCCGGGAAGAUCUGCCAGCCAACCAGGAAUGGCACCUAAGCCAUAACCCAGGCGAUGGCUGCUCUCAGCUUGCUGCCUGGGCCAGAAGCAUGCGCUGGGGUGGGGGGCAGGGGGUGUGCAGAGAGAAAGCACUUGGUCCAUAGGUGACAGAAGACAGCAGAGGGCAGAAGAGGCCAAUGCCUUGCUGAGGGGCCAAGCGGGCCUGGGGCUGCGGCUGUAGGUGCACCCCAGUGGCGGCCUCCCAGCUCACCUGGUCUUUCCAUCCACUGUGCCUGCAGGGGCUCCUCCUCCAUGAGGCCUGGGGAGGAGUGGCCCAGCCGCAGUCUGGGGAGGGUCCAGGCCACGCUCAUUAAGUCUCCGUGGGUGGCGUCACCCUGAGGAGAAGGGCGGAGGCACGCAGGGACUUGGAGUGCUGUGCCGUGCCUAGGCAGGGACGAGGGUCCAGGGGCAGAGUGGCGAGGCAGUAAUUACAGGGGACACCCUGCUCAAGACACAGGGGAGGGGAAGCUGGCUAGGACACCCGGGUGGCUUUGUUGGCACUAUUCCUGGCCUGGUAAUU